rnacentral:lncRNA from 1 species
GAUUUGUAUGUGUACGUGUGAAUUUGUAGGGAGAUUACAUCUGGAACUGUUCCAGAUCCUGGUUCAAUAGAAGGAAAGGACAUUACUGUGCUUGAGGUACUAUUAAAGGUGCCACAUAACAUAUUGUUGACCUUGGCAAAAGAUAUUGGAGCAGAUUGGGACAUUGAUUAUGAGCUGGAUAUAGGCCUCACCAUUGACCUUCCUGUCUUUGGCAACUUCACCAUACCACUUAACAAGAAGGGAGCGAUCAAGCUUCCCAGCGUCUUCUGAUCCAUAUGACCUUUGGGAUUCUAUGGGUUUGGUUAUGUUCUGUAACUUUUCUUUUGUUGUUAAUUUAAGUACAUUAAGAUAUGGACUCUGUCUUUGCUCAGCACAGAGUGUUUUAAGUUUUUUUGGUUUUUUGUUUUCAGUUGGUUGUUAUCUUCCACCUCUAUCUAUAUGGGCAGAGGUUCGAAGUUGAGUAUUUGUGUUAAUCUUCCUUCCUCAAUAUUUUAUAAUAAAAAAAAUAUUUAAGUUUUUUAAAAAUAUUUUAUAUACCAGUGAUAUUGGAAGGGCUCUUAAUAAUUUAAUUAAAAAUAUAAUAAAAAUCCUAAUAAGUUUGAACAAAGCCAAAGUUGGGGAAUUACAAAGCAGGAACAAUAGCAAUGAGGGGAAGGGGGUGAUUAGGAGUAUAAGCCUUAUCAAAGUACUAUAUGCGUACUUUGAUAUUUAAAGUUAAUGUCGAUUAUACUUUUUUAAUGCUGAUAAUAGCUUCCUAAAUAUCAGUGUCUUCAUUAGCUAGAGUGGCCCUAAUCAGACAUUGUUAUAAAUCUAGAGAAAUUGGAGAGAAUUGAGAUAGAGAGAAACUGAUCUCUUAUUGAAUAUUUGUUCUUCACAUAUCUGUCUUACAAAGAGAAGGGGAAGGGGCUUAUUUAUAGGUAAGUAGAAGUGGGCUCCACCAUAUAUAUUUACAACAGACAUCUAUAUAUUAUUGUUUUUUAGGGACUAUCUAUGCUAGAAAGGAAAAAGUUCUAGCCUCCUCUCUCUCAAAAAAAAAAUAAAAAACUCUCUGAGUCCUUUUUAUUUUGAGGGGGAGGAAGUCAUUGUUCUUCCCCCCUUUCCGUUCUUCUUUUCUUCGCUUAUCUUCUUCUCCCAUUCUAAAAAACAGAAGGCUUCCACUAUUUGUCUUAUUUUAUUAUGAUUUUCCUUUAAUCAUUACAGACGGUUGAGUUACGGUGUUGGAUCUCUACUUGCGUUUCGCCGUUGGAUUUCCACCACCAUCCUUUUUGUGAUUUUUUUUAUAUAUUUGGAAUAAGUCGCAAAGACUCUUUGAGUUUUCUCUGUAGUUUUCACAUCUCCUUUUGUGAGAACUUUUCACCUUUCUUUUAUGAGAGCUUUUCAUAUCUUCUUUAUGAGAGUUUUAUUUGUAUUGUUAUGAUUUGAUUUUUUCAAGUUUUAUAUCUUUUUCAUUAUUCUGAGUUUGCAAUCUUAGUUGGAAUGCUUAUGCUAAAGUUUCUUCGAUCAUGCGUGAUCGUUAGUAGAGGCGCACAAAAUUGUCUUAAUUUUGAUGUUAAAUUGCUCUGUUAUUGUAAUGGCCCUUUGUGGCUAGUAGCUUUUUUGGUUAUUUAUGAAUGCAACCACAGAAUUUCUUAACUAAAAGAAAAAAGAAAAGGAAAAAGCUUGGCAGGGAGCCCAUCCUCCAAACAAAUAGAGUUUUGACACUUGGGAAAUUCCUUUUAUUUGUUUUGAAUUCCUUUUAACUUUAUUUCUUUCGAAAUUUUUUAAGUGUCAAAAUCUAAUUUAUUGUAAUGAUGUUUUCUUUCUCAAUUUUAAGGAGCCAAUCCAUGCUCUAGAAAAGAGCUGUAGUAAUUUAUGCUUUGAGAAGACACUGUAGGGGCUUUCGAAGGUGGAUAGAUUGGAUUUAGGGAAGCUGAGUUGCAGUGUGAUUUGGCAGUGGAAGCUGAGUUGGGAUUGGAAUUUGGACAAGAAGAAAGAGAAAGUUGCUGGAAGGACAACUUCGCCCUCAAUAUUGACAGAAAAAUGGAUGAUAUGUUUCAAAUUUGACAAUAGGGAGUAGAUUGACAAAAAAAAUUAGUUUGUAUCCUUAAUUGACUAAAAAAAGUUCAAAUUGGAAAAUCGAAAAUUACUUGAUAGUCCGGGACACAAUUCGGCAAUUUACUAAUGAAAUGAUUGCAUUACUAGCGUGUGUGAGGGUUUUGUAUAUAUGAUGGAUAUUCAAAUUAUUCAAUUAGGCCCCUUGUGACUUAUCCACUGCGACUAUAAAGGCACCCAAUUUUAUUUUUUUUGGUCGGAUAAAGGCACCGAAUUUGACGAUGAGAAUUGGACCCACCAUCCAGCCAAUUAAAUAGAACAUCACUCUCCACCGUCAGAUUGUCCAAAGUUAAAAAAAAGACCCAUCCCAUCUUAUCUCAACCCUUACUUUUAGUACAAACUUUCAUGUCAAGCAUCAUCAAUCCAUCACAGAUCUCUAAACACGGAGGAAACACGAGCGGACACGUAAGUGCCGACCUCCUGCCACGUGGCGCAAACCCAGUGCACCCGCUACCUCCUCUGUAUUUUACCCAAUAAAUCCAUUGAAGAUCCACCUCCUAUAAAUAGCUGCGAAAAUAUAAAUCUCAGCAACAAGGCUGCAAGUGCUAAAUCUAAUCUAGUGUUGAUCUCUUUGUUCGUAUUAAUAUUUUGUUGUUGGUGUGUGCGCUCUGAAAAUGUCUGAGUUGUUGGAAAAAGCCAAGAACUAUGUGGCUGAGAAAGUGGGUCAUGUGAAGAAGCCAGAGGCAGAAGUCACAGAUGUGGAUUUCAAGACGGUGAGCUUUGGAUCUGUUGAGUACCUUGCAAAAAUCUCUGUGACCAAUCCCUAUGGAGUUGACCUCCCCAUCUGUGAUAUCACUUACAACCUCAAAAGUGUUGGCAGGUUCCAAUUCUCACUUUCUAACACUUAGGGUUCAAUUUUUAUUUGUUUAUUUUUGUUAUAGAUGCUCAUUUGAUCCCUGUGUUUUGCUUGAAAUUUCUAAUUUGAUUUUUGUGUUUUCAAUUUCGUCAAUUUGGUCCCCUAUUUUCAUUUUCAUAAUGUGUAAGAAUCAAGAUUGUCAAACAUCGAAAUAGAUUACGGUCAAAUUAGGCAAAGGGAUCCUGAUUGUCAAAUUCAAAGCAUAGAGAACAGAAUAAAAAUUUGAACAGAACAUACGAUUGGUGUUGUGGUGUUGGUUUUACUUUGUUGGAAGAUAUCUCGAGUUCAAAUGCGAUCAAUACACAAUUUUUUGAUUUAAAAAAAAAAUAGAUUAGUUUCUAUGCCAUGAUCAUAUAUAUAAAGUGACUUGAUUUGUAUGUGUACAUGUGAAUUUGUAGGGAGAUUGUAUCUGGAACUGUACCAGAUCCUGGUUCCAUAGAAGGAAAGGACAUUACUGUGCUUGAGGUACUAUUAAAGGUGCCACAUAACAUAUUGUUGACCUUGGCAAAAGAUAUUGGAGCAGAUUGGGACAUUGAUUAUGAGCUGGAUAUAGGCCUCACCAUUGACCUUCCUGUCUUUGGCAACUUCACCAUACCACUUAACAAGAAGGGAGCGAUCAAGCUUCCCAGCCUCUUCUGAUCCAUAUGACCUUUGAGAUUCUAUGGCUUUGGUUAUAUUCUGUAACUUUUCUUUUGUUGUUAAUACAAGUACAUUAAGAAAUGGACUGUCUUUGCUCAGCAACCCCCUGUUUUUUGGGUGGGUGUAAUUCAGUUGGUUGAGCUCUUUCACCUCUAUCUAUGUAUGUAUGCAGAAGUUCAAAAUUCCCACACACCCAUGGGUAUUUGUGUAAACCCUCUCUCCAAUCACUUGUACUAAAAAAAUAUAUUGAAUUUUUUUUUUAAUGUUUAUUUUAUAUACAAAUGAUAUUGGGAAGGAUAAUUGAAUCCAGGAGUUUGGUCAUAGUAAAUAUUCUUAGUUAUUUAAUUAAAAAUAUAAUAAAACCGUAACAAGUUUGACCAAAGCCAAAGUUGGGGAAUUACAAAAGCAGGAACAACAGGGGAAAGGGACGAGAAGGAAUAUAGUGGCCUUAUUAAACAAGUAAAAGACCCAAAAUAUUGCUUCCACAACAUGGUGAAUCUACAGAACAAAUUCUAUUUUACCGGAUGGAAAUAAAAGGAACCCAGUUCUUUAUUUAUAUUUUGGAGCUAUAUACAAGAAAGAGAUGCAAGAAAAGGAUCAUGGUUGGCCAUAUAUACAUCAACCUAAGCUCUCCUUGUCCACGGGGAGCAUAACAAAUAAGCUCAAAGUUAAUUACAAAUUUACAAAUAUCUCUUCCUCUUCAAUAGUGAUGCAAAGAAGUGCAACUUUUGUUUCUUCUGCGUUUUCGAAUACGUUUUGGAAAGUGUCACAGUUAGCGGGCAAUGCCAAAAACUAUGUAGUGAACCUGGCCAAGGGCUUUUUGGAACGGAGAUUGUCUGAGAUGAAGAAAAGAUCUGCGUUUAUUGUGGGCCUUCAAUUUGAAAACCUAAACUUCGACUCCAUAGAACUCGUUUUCAAGAUCUCCGUGUACAACCCCUUCGAGUUUUAUCUUCCCGUCAGUCGGGCCACUUUCAAAUUAGAAAGCGGCGGCAGGUUUGAUUCAAAUUUCAUACUAUCGGUUGUUUAAAAUAAUGUGUUUAUAUCUCUCUCAUCAAAUGAUUUUAGUCACGUAGUGAUUGAAAUAAGCAUACCUAUAACACUUUUGAUCUCUUUCUGUGUUCGAUAACAUAACAUGCUAAACUAUUUGUCAAAAAUUAACGUCUUUUCGUGAACAUAAAUGAAUUUUGGAUUGUAUGAUUAUGCAAGCUCAUUUGGAAUAUAUUGAUUGUUUUCUACCAUAUAUGUGCAUGUGAGUGGAGCAGCGAGGCUUUAUCAGCGACGUUGAAAGAGCCUGCGUCACUGAAGCCGGGAGAAGAGUCCAUUUUGUUGGUGUUGGCGAAGGUGCCAUUCAGUAUGCUCAUGACCUUGGCAAAGGACAUUUCUGAAGAUGCAGAUAUUGACUAUGAGAUCGAUUUCAACAUCCAAAUUAAGCUUCCUAUCAUUGGGGUCGUUUCCUUGCCAAUACCUUGCCAACAACAGGGCCAGCUCAAGAUUUCUGAUCUGUUUACCAAUUUGUUGGAGGAAAUUAAUUAAUACUCUGUGAUGCCUUGGAGAGGGAAAAAAAUAAAAUAAAGAUCUCAUUGGUUGGGAUCCAUAAUAACCCAGAAGCUUAAGAAAUACAAAUUUACCAUGACUAUAUUAAUGAUGAAAUUAAACUUAUCAUAUAAAUCAUGAGCCAAGAAGACCAAGGGAUUCUUUUAGCUUGUGUAAUGGAUUUUGUGGAUUCUUACCCAAAUAAGACAGUUUAUAUGGGAAAUGUGUAUGGAGGGGAGAGUCAAAGACUCGUUUUAAUGGUUCGGCUCUAAAAUUACAAAGAGGGAUCCUCUAUAAAUCCAUAAGUACUGAAUAUUAAAUAAAUUUUUUAGAGCCCCAUUAUUUGGAAAAAUAUAAAAGCAAAUGCAAUGAUUAUUAAGCGGAUCACUAAAAAUUUGCGAACUCAUCUCCUACCAUAUUUGCUUCACUAAACAUCGAGUUAAGCCUACGUAUAUAGUCUGAAGAUUGAAGAGCUCCUUACUUCAGCUUAUAUAUGUUGAGUGUUGGCUAGUUAUGCCACGUGUCCCAGUCACAUUGGAUUGGUACAAAAUAAAAAAGUUUAAAAUAAUAGUCAGACGGGGAUGUAGCUCAGAUGGUAGAGCGCUCGCUUAGCAUGCGAGAGGUACGGGGAUCGAUACCCCGCAUCUCCACUUCCACUCCAAUUCUUCCUUUAUUUUUUGGUCCAUUUGUAUGAGUUUUUAGGAGACAAAGUCAAACAGUUCUUUGUUAAAACCAAAGGAUUUAUGACGUCAAAUUUUAUUGAUUUUGCAUAGUGGCUCUGUCACCUACCCGGAACAUACAAAAAUUUCUCAUUUUCUUUCCUAUAAAUUAAAAAAACCAUAUAUAAACUCCACCAUCCAAUUAUUUAUACUCUCAACGAACAAAUCCAUCUUAUUUUAUUAGUCCAUGUGGGAUUAUACAAUAUUGUGCUCAACCCCAUAUGUCAACACUUACCGUUAAUACAUUUUCUUGUGGUGGCUGGCCAAUUACAAUUAGGACAAUUUAUUCAGUAAUUACUAGACCAAAACCCUCUUUUUUUCUUAUUAAUAAUAUUUAUUAAUUAAUUAAGCCCCUGUAAGACUUUCCUCCUCAUGGCGGCUGUCAAAGUCUAAAUAGAAAACCAACCAGAGAUAUUCCUCCUUCACACCUUCAUGGCAGAACAUUCAAAGUCACGGACACGUUAGUUCACAAAAUUUUCCUCACUGCCUUUCACUUUUGGUUCUUUUGGUCACAACAAAUAGAGAAAACAUACAACAUAAAAAAACUCAUUUUUCAUGUUCAUAGUCUCUCAAGAACUCAAACAUGGCUGAUCACAAGGAUCAACAUCAGCAGCAGCAACCCCAUGGCUCAAAGAGAGAAGAAGAAGAAGUCAUAACAACAUUUUCUCCCACGAUAUUUUCUCCCAAGUCAUUUCCCAGGAGAAGAAGAAUCAAAUACUGUGGAAUUGUCAUUGCACUUGUUCUGCUCCAGAUUGUAGUGCUUGGGGUGCUUUGCCUCACUGUCUUUCGCUUCAGGGAUCCCAACGUCAAGCUGGCUGCAAUUUCUGUCGAGAAUUUCAGCCCGGCGCUUGGAACAUCCACUGCCAUCAACAUGACACUGAGGGCAGAAAUUAAGGUGAAGAAUCAAAACUGGGGAAAGUUGAAAUAUGAUGAGAGUGUUUUGGUUGUGUCACAUGAGGGUUCUACAGUUGGAGAAGGAACAAUUCCAAAAGGGUCUAUUAAGAUGAGGCACAGCAAGCAGGUGAGCGUUUCGGUGGAGGCAAAGCUUGAUGGUAUAUCAUCAUCAAGCAGUGAUAUUAGUUCAGGGGUUUUGAAUUUGAAGAGCUAUGCCAAGCUGAGCGGGAAGGUGAGUAUGGUGGGUCUGGUGAAGAAAAGAAGAAGUGGGGAAAUGAAUUGCAGUUUGACAAUUAGUUUGGCCAGGCAGGCAAUCCAGGACUUCCACUGCCAAUGAAAAUUCUGACUCGGAAGAGGAAGGAAACUUAUUGCUUUCUUCUUCUUUUUAGUCUGGAAUUUUUUUAUUGACUUUACAGUUUUUAUCUGGAGUCUCUCUGUUGUAGUUUUCUGUGAUACUUGUGCUGAUUAUUGUAUAUGCCUUUAUUUGUAAACAUUUUUUGUACUUGAGUUUUAGCAUGUUCAACCUAAACUAGCUGAAUGAAAUCUUCAAUUUGUUUUUCCUUGCUUAAUUUUCUUAUGCAGAGGCAAUGCAGAGAUUAAACAACUGAAUGAAAUCUUUAGUAAGUUUUUAGUACAGUCUGACAUACCAAACGAGCCCAUUACUGCAAUAAUUUGGUGCUGCUUUUAUUCAUCUUUUAAAGAUGGUUUGGUUUGCAGUGAGGAACCAAAAUCCAAAACCACCAUGGUUGAAACUUGAGAGAAAAAGUUAGAGACUUGCAGCAAGCAACAAAGACAACGAAAUAUCCUGAUCUGACUUUUCAAAAAUUGAUGCAAUUACUCCAGUGAUGGAUUCAUUUUUCUUUCCCUAGACCCUUAAAAACUAUGUUGCUUUCAAGGAUUUAGUCAAGGGAAAGAACAUGUAUUGAUAUUCUUGAAAGUAGCUAGCUAGGUCCAGCAGAAGCUUCUUUGAAUUUGAUGGUAGAUGUUUACGUGUUCUCAUCUCUAGUCUCCACAACUAAGUCAACUACAUUAGUUUGGAGCUUGAUUUUUGUAUAUGCACUCAACACACGCAAACAUGCAUGCAAGUUUUUACACCCAACUUUAGUUAUCUCUUUUUAUUUCUAUUGCUAUGCUUUGUUUAAAAUGGUUUUGGUGAAACUGAUGGGAAAAGUCAGGCCCGCAAGAUUCUAAAGGGCUUUGGCUAGGUUUGACAUGCAACAACACUUGUGUUUUGUCCCAUGGCUUUAAAUUUGACAGGCCCAAAAGGUGGGAAGUUGGGAAUUUGGACCGAUCCUAUAUAUGAAAGUUGGAAUCCAAUUCAUAAAUCACAUAAAACAAGUGUGGAACGAGUGAUUAUUUGGUCGAAACAUGCCAUUCUUAUAUGGAAUAACCAAUAUUCACCAAUAUUAUAACACAUAACAUGUAAUUUAAUAACAUUUCAAUACGUAUCAUAUAAUAGUUUCUCACAUAUCACCGUCUCAUAAAAUCAAAAUUAAAUUAAAUUAAUUGUAUUAGCUACACAGUGGGGAUCACCAUUUGUUUGCACUUGGUACCAGGCAAAGAGAAGAGGGUUAAAGAAACAAUCGCCAAGCAAUUAGUCACAUAGUGGAAGUAGUAGGUAAUGAGCAACAUCUAUCUUUUUUAUACUUUACAAAGUAAAACCUAGUCAAAAAGAAGGUUAGGCCUUUUCCGUUAUGAAGCCUCUUUAUAUUGUAGUAAUGCUGGUAGAUGAAAUGUUAUGAUGCUAACUAUAAAUAUAAAUCUCGUCAAAACAAAAGGGUGCCGGGGAAAGAAAGGCUUCCUUCCUUCCAUCCAUUUAUUUAAUAUAAAUAAAUGGAAGAUGAGAAAGUAGUUAAAAGUUGGUGGCACACUAGGGAAUAAUUAUACAAAUUAUAAUAAAGGAGAUUCAUUAUUAUAUCCAAUACAAGAGUUCAAAUUAUAAAAAAAUACUAUAUAAAAUGGACUUUAGAAACACACCCAAAUUUAUUUACAAUAAUUUUCUGUUUUAGAUGAUAAUGGUCAAUUGCAUGAAAUAAUUAUAUUUAGAAUUUCAUAUGGUUUGUCUCACUCAAGUAGGCACCAGCACUACCAUAUUUGACAAUCCUUAAAGAGACCUCCCGUCUGCAUAAAAUCAAUCACUCUCAGAAUUUAUCAUAUUAUUAGAUCGGAAUUUAAUUAACUUACUCUAGUGCAGCAAUUCAGUUCUUUCAUAUUUCAUUCAAUUAUCCCUAAAACGAUGCGUUUUGCAUAUCUACAAUAUCAAUAUAGAAAAUAUAAAUAAAGACUCUUCAUCACAUCUAACAAGAGGGGGAUUCAAACUUUGGUAAAAAUGGGACGAGUUCAAUACUUUAGCCAAUUGGCCUAAAUCCACAUCUACCUUCGUAAUUGUGUUGAUGUACCUAAAAAAAGUCAUUUGUUCAAAUUUUAUAUGAAUAAUAAAUCUGAAAAGAAAAAAAAUUCAUUGUUCAGAGUCUCAAAUAGUAGCAGCUUCAUACUACAAUUAUGUGUAAACUUUAGUGGAAGUCAAUAUUGAACAGCUUGAAAUAUUUUGGGUAGGCAAAAGGCACAACAAUAUGUGCCAACAUUUUGUAGGAAACUCAUACUUAGCCCAUACAUAUACAUACUCCCACUUCCCCCUAAACAAACACUAUAAAAAUACACUACAUUCAUUUACAUAUUAACACCAACUCUUCCAAAACCUCAGCUUUCCUUAACCCCUCUCUCCUCCCCAUCUCUUCUCAACCCUCUAGCCAUGGUGGAGAAGGAGCAGGUCAGACCACUAGCCCCCGCCGCCAACGGCCAGAGCAGCGACGCAGACGAGGCCGCCCUUCACUCAAAGAAAUUUGGACUAAAAAAGUUCAUCUACUGCUGUGGCGGCAUAACAGCCUUGCUCUUAAUCCUAGCCGUGGUGAUCAUAAUUCUAGCGUUCACUGUGUUCCGCUUGAAGGAGCCAAAGAUCAAAAUGAACAAAGUCACAGUUACAAGGCUGGAGCUGAUCAACGACAACACAACCCCAAAGCCAGGCUCCAACAUAUCGUUAACAGCCGAUGUGUCGGUGAAAAAUCCCAACGCGGCUUCGUUUAGGUACAACAACACCACCACCACUCUGUAUUAUCACGGCGUGGUGGUGGGGGAGGCUCAUGGCUCGCCGGGCAAGGCUAAGGCCCGACGGACCAUGAGAAUGAAUAUAACUGUUGAUGUCAUAACUGAUCGGCUCACAUCAAAUCCCAAGUGGGGGGCGGACGUGGGAUCGGGGUUAUUGACUAUGAGUAGCUAUUCUAGGAUUCCAGGGAGGGUGAAUAUGUGGAAUAUUAUCAAGAGACAUGUGGUUGUGAAGAUGAAUUGUACCAUGACCGUUAACAUUUCCAGCCAGGCAAUUCAAGAACAAAAAUGCAAGAGGAAAGUUACCUCUAGGUUUGUAGUUUAUUUAUAAGGUUUUUAUGUGGAGAAGAGUGAGUAGAAUAUACGGAGUAUAUGGAUGUAAGCUUUUAUAAAUAUGGUUAUAUGAUACGUGUAGAAUUGUACUUUAACUCAAUGGUAUAUCAUCACCAAAGAGUUUAAACGAACUCGAUAUAAAAGGCGAACACAUUGACCUCACGGGAGAGUUGUUAUUAUAUCGUUAGAUUAUUAAACAUAUAAUAUGAUACAUCAUCCCUUUCAUUAGUCUUUGUUUAUUCUGAUUUUCUUCAAUAUUGAAUCACUCCACUCCAGCACUUUGCCGGUACUUAUAGCCAAUGCCCAGAAGUCAAUAAUGGAUCAUAAAAUAAAAUAGCGUAUGUGUGAUGACAUGCUUAUGUAAACAGCUCUCCUAAGGAUAUUUAAACAAAUUAAUAAUUUUAGAUUAGUUUGGAUGCCAACGUUCCUUCAAUGGCAUUUGAUUAUUUCCAAGUGGUCUGGCUUUUGGGGGCCAAAUCCAAAUUCUUUGAUCAAAGAAGAUAGCGUUGAUCAAAAUAUCACACGUAUUGUAUAAAAGAAAAACAAUUCAAGUCGAAGCUCAGAGUAUACAGAGCUCUUAGCUAGAAAGGAGAAAGAUCUCGUCUACUUUCCCAACAUAGCAAGUUCAUGAACACUUCGUGAUCUUUUAACAUUCUAAAUCUAGGGAUUUUACUUCAUUUUUGUUUUCAAAAAUUAGUUUAUAAUUUAAUGUAUAAUAUUGAAAAUUAUCCACGUUAUAACACAUGUGGAUUGAUUAUAUGACAUGACAAUGUUUUUAAAAUACACACAAGUCUCCUGCUUCAUAAUACUUAAACUUAGAUGUAUGAAUGUCAAUGAGGUUUAGUCCACUGAAAAAUGACAUUGAGUUGCAGACAAGUUUUGAACCUUGUUAGUGUAAACUCAGGCCAUGUUUGGGAUUGCUUUUUUUCGCCAAAAACCUGCUUUACUUUAAAUUUAAGCAAUUUAAGGUGUUUGGUAAAAAUAAAAUAUCCCGAUUAUUUUAAAAGCAGUAGCCUUUUGACAGCAGCUUUUAAAAGCAGGCUUUGGGUUGCUUUUCAGAGCUGCUUUCAAAAAAAGUAGAGAUGAACAUUUAAUGAAUUUUUUUAAUUCCCAAAAUACCAUAAUUCAUUUUUAAAAAUGACACUACCUCCACUUCCACAUCCAACUCCAUCACUUGAACCACCACAUUCACUACCUCCACAACCACCGCCACUGCCACUAUUACCACCAUCACCACCACCACAUCCUUCUCCUCCUCAUCCUUCACCACCACCACUACCACAACCACCACCUCCACCACCACCACCACCUCUUCCACCUCCACAACCACUGCCACCACUACCACCACCACCACCACCACCACCACCACCACAUCCUUCUCCUCCUCAUCCUCCGCCAUCACCACCACAACCAUCUCCUCCUCCAAAACCUCCACACAUCCACCACCACCUCCUCCACCACCUCCACCACCACCACCACCACUACUAGCACUACCACCACAACCAUCUCCUCCUCCAAAACCUCCACACAUCCACCACCACCUCCACAACCAACACCACAACCACCACCAUGCUGCCACUACCACCACCACCUCCACAACCUUCAUCCCCACCUCCACCACUACCACAACCACCAACUCCACCUUCAUCACCACCACCACCUCCACUCCAUCAGUACCACUACCACCACAUGAUUAGUACAUAAUACUUUUAACAUCAUGUAUGUUUUAGUCAUUAUUCACAGUUACAACAAUUUUAUAUUAAAAUUUAACAAAUAAUUUUGACACUGCUUUUUGUACUGACAGCACUUUAAAAAUAUUGUUUACCAAACAUAGAGCUGCUUAUUUUACAGCUAAUUAUUUUCAAAGCACAUCAAAAGUAACUUUUUAAAAAAAUGACAGCAAUCCCAAACUAGGACUUAAAUUUAGACAUUUAAACUGAGAGAUCUGAAUACCAACCAUACUGUACUAAUAGCUUUAUUUUUCAUUUCUUAACUUAAAGAAAAAUGAAAGCCCAAGCCCAACUCAAAACCCAUAAACCAUGCAAAUACAAACAAAAUCAAAUCCUAAUAGUCGUUCUACCCACCACCCAAAAAAAAUGAAGGAAAAAAACAAGAGAAAAUUUUAGUUGUAACAUGGAUAACGCGAUUUUCUUAUUCCGAACAAUAAUGUUAUGUCACACAAAACUGUAAUCACUGCAUAUGAAUAGCAAAAUUGUGAUAUUCCUUAAGUUUUCCUUGAAAAUUAGGGUGAUAAUCACUACCACUCGCUCACCACUCACAUUUUCCCACCAAUUUAAUGCUGUCUCUGGUGUGAGUAUUAAAUGCAGCAGCUGGAGCACCCACCCACCUUCUCUCCUCUCACCCCCCAAAAAAAAAUCACCCAACUCCCAAUGGCUAAAACCCCCCUUCCUCCUCCCCUCCUCUUCCAAUGUCGUCCGCCCCAAACCCCACCCACCCCUCCACCCAAAAUUACCUAACUACCCUCGGACUCGGCUACGGCAUCGCCAUUGCGCUCGGCUUCCUCGUCCUCUUCUCCACUCUCCUCCUGGCUUCCUACAUCUGCUGCCGCGUCUCCCGCCACCACCACCACCCGCCUCCCAACCCGAACCGGAACCCGAACAACUCCGACGGCGUCAUCCUCCCCCGAAUCAUCUUCGUCGCCGAGGACGACAACGACCAGCAGCAGCAAGACGAUGAGAACGCCGUCGUCGGGAUCCACCAGAGCGUCAUCAACUCCUACCCCAAGUUCCCCUUCUCCAAGGAAGUGGCGGCCGCCGAUUCGUCCACGUGCUCCAUCUGCUUGUGCGACUACAAGGACGCCGAGAUGCUCCGGAUGAUGCCCGAGUGCAGGCACUACUUUCACCUGAUGUGCCUCGACGCGUGGCUCAAGCUCAACGGGUCGUGCCCGGUUUGCCGGAACUCUCCGUUGCCGACGCCCCUGUCGACUCCGUUGCAGGAGGUCGUGCCUUUGUCUCAGUACCCGGCCGAUCGGAGAUGGAGGAGGUGACUGAUUGUCCUGAUUGACUGAUAUCUUCUUUGGUUUUUAUCCUUUUAUUUUUUAUUUUUAGUUUGUUUGUUUUGGGUUUAGGGUUUUCUGUUUUCUAUUGGUGGUGUUGGUUUGGGAAUUGGGAAAUGUAAAUUUGGUCUUUUCUUCUUCUUCUUCUUCGGGUACUGAUUUUGUGAUAUUAGUGAAGUGGAUUAUGCACAAACAACUUGUGUCUCAUGGAAUUUGAUUAAUGUUAAUUACUUUGAUUUGGGUGAUGAUAAAGUUUUGGAAUUCAUUUUUAAUCAUCUACAUACAUGGUUGCCAACUUGCCAUGGAGACCCUUGUGAAUUUUGUUUGUCAUUCACUUAAAGCUUCUUGUGUGUUUUUCUUUCUUGCUUGGUACCUAAUCAUGUUGAGUACUUGAAAAAACCAAUCUAACAGUAAAUCUGGUACCAAUUCUUUCUUCAAUCACAAGGGUCAUAGGGUUAGGGUUGCUUGUGCUUCAAUUCAGCUUUCCGUAAGAUAUUUGCUAUUUUUUCUCGAAAGGGGGGGACUUGGAGCUUUGAAAAAAAGUCAAAUUUAACUAUGCAAGCAUUGUGCAGCAACAGUGUAGCACGUGUUUGUUCAGUGUUGCGGCUGAUCCUCUAGAUGUCUCUUAAUCACACUGCACAAUAACAUAAUUACCACAUUUCUAAUGUUUGAUUAAUUCACCCUUCACUUUUUUUUUUCUUAAAUUUGAAGGAAAAGGAAUUAAAAAAGGUGAGGAUAAAGAAGAACUGAUCCCCAUAUUCUUAAUAAAACAAGAAAUCAAUCCUUCUCAAUGACUUUUGCAUUCUGAUAAAGUGCUCAUGAAAAUCUGCCCAAUAAGCUCUUCGAUCAAAUAAAACAAAUGCAACCUUUGGACUCUGAUCUCAAAGCUUCCAAUCUCUAUGCACCCUUUAGAUUUGAAUUGUUGCUGAAAAUCAUUGGGGUUAUGUUUGGUUAGCGCUUAUUUCGAAAGCUGCUUUUCUUUUCUGUAGCAGCAUACAAAUUCCAGCUUUUCAUCUCAGUGUGAAAGAUAUGGGGAAACCAAAUGUUUUUAAUAAGUUAGGAACAUGGAGAGGAGGAGUUCGCAGCUCGAUCUUUGUAUUAAGUAUCUUUGCUCUUCUCAUCUCUCUUGGUACUUUGUCCAAAUUCAACUCUCUCGGAUCAUUUCAUGUCACUGAUACUCUCUGCAAUUAUGUAAACCCUGAGAGCCAAAGCAGGCCAGACAGCCAUGUGAGAAGAACUCUUGAAACUGUUAUUCAGAAAAUCCAACAAGAGCUCGACAAGUUCAGAGAUUCAGAACCAGAGCCGUCUUCAUCGAAACAUGUACUGAAAUACAAUUCCUUUCUUGCUGAUAUUUUGGGGCAUAUUGAGUCAGUGCGGACAUCUCUGUCACAGAAUGAAGAGACUCAUGAGCUGAACAGUGGUGCCAAAGACAUCCAUCCUCUCUUAAAACCGAAGCAGCAGUCCGAUGAGCCUGCAGAUUACUUUCUGAUCGAGGAGAUUCGAAAGUAUGUCAAGAUCAAGCCGAAUAGAUUAGGAAAGCAGAAUUUCAUGGGAGCCAAUGGAACUUUCACCAGUAUUGGCCAUGCUUGCUUUGCUAUGAAGAAAGAGCUUGAAGAAUACAUGGACUAUGACAUUGGUGAAAUCUGCAAUGAUGAUUGGAGGCUGGCUCAGAAGCUAAUGGUUCAUGGAUGUGAUCCACUUCCAAGGAGGAGGUGCUUUUCCAGGGCCCCAAAGCUAUACAGCAAGCCAUUUCCAAUUCAUGAGUCCAUGUGGAAGCUCCCUGAUAAUCGAAAUGUCCGGUGGAGCAACUACAGGUGCAAAAACUUUACUUGCUUGGCAAGCAACAAGACUCAAAAGGGGUUCUUCAAAUGUGCAGAUUGCUUCAAUCUUCAAGACCAUGAAAAGCCCAGAUGGAUCAAACCAGCAUAUCUAGACACCAAUUCAAAUGUGACUGCAGAUUUCCUCAUCCCUGAAGUGCUUAACAUCAAGCCUGGAGAGAUCAGAAUUGGACUGGAUUUUAGUGUAGGAACUGGGACUUUUGCAGCCAGGAUGAGGGAAUUCAAUGUCACUAUUGUCUCAGCAACUAUCAAUCUUGGGGCACCUUUCAAUGAAAUGAUAGCUCUUCGUGGACUCGUCCCACUUUACUUGACGAUCAAUCAACGGGUGCCAUUUUUCGAUAACACUCUGGAUUUGAUCCACACAACAAGAUUUCUAGAUGGUUGGAUUGAUUUUGUGCUGCUGGACUUUGUUUUGUAUGAUUGGGACAGAGCUCUGAGGCCUGGGGGUUUCUUGUGGGUUGACAGCUUCUUCUGUUUGAAGGAGGAUUUGAGUGAUUAUUUGGAAGCCCUUAGGAUGCUGAGAUAUAAGAAGCACAAAUGGGUUGUUGUUCCAAAGCUUGAUAAAGAUGAUAAAGAGGUUUUCUUUUCUGCUCUAUUAGAAAAGCCGGGUAGACCUUUCCGGUAAUCUUAGAUUUGAUCUUAAUUAUGUCUGCUAAUCACAUAAUUGAUCUUAUGUCUGAUAAUCUUUAUUGUGUUUACAUGAACUUAAAAUUUUGAAUAUGAUUUCAUUUCCAGUUAGAUGAGGUUCAAUGUGAAUGUGAUGUGUAUGCUUAGUUUUUUCUGCCACAAGGGAAAAGUUUCAGCAGAGUCCAUUUUUUCUUGUCAAAAAAAUAAUAAUGACCAGAAAUUAGAGGAGUUCACACGGCCAUUUUGCAUUGUAAGAGCUGUUUGUCAAUUUCAGUCAUCAAUUUUCCCAUUUUUCCUUGCUGCAGAUAAGGGUCCACAAAUGUCAAGUCGAAGAAAAAGACACUAAUAUUAGGUAUAUUGUUUUGCGGACCAGUAGCAUGAAACUUGUAGAUGUAGCGGUUGCCCAACUUCAAAUCUAUUCAAAAUGUUAGGAUUAGUAGCUUAUAUUUUCUAGUCGUUGAUAAACAUGAGACUCGUAAUGCAUCAACGCAUGGGUGACUCUCUAGUCAAAUUCUUGCCAAAAACAUGAAGCCAAAAUAAAAAAUAAGAGAGCCUGCAUCUUGAAGGGUCCUGUGACAUGAGGGCAGGAAGAGUCUUUGUGAUCCACGGGCUUCAGGCCCCUCAUUUGAUAAUUGUUUGCAAAUCAAAUAGCUGCAAUUUUUUUUCUCUUGCCAAAUAAAUACUACUGCAUGAUAAAGAAUGGACAUCUAUCAUCAUUUUCAUUUCAAGGGUAAAAUCUUGAUUGAUUGUGACUCAAAUGUCGACAGUCGAUGCACAUUCUUUUUAACGGACUCGGAUUGCUGUCCAGUGGGCCGACUGGCCCAGAGCUCUACCAGAAACUGGCGUAUUCCGCCAACCAGAAAGAUUCCAAGGUCCCAUGCCCAAGAAAAGAUAAAGAAGAAAGAUUCAAAAGCUGCAUUAACAGCUUAAAAGUGUAAAAACCCUCUUGUAAAGUUUAAUAAAUUACAAACAAUUAUCUUUCAUCUGGAGAGUUAAUUUGUACUCGAAUCAAGGUAAAAUAAUAGCUAACAAAAUACUUUAGAAAGUUGAAACUUUACAACUUUCCUAUUUUAGUGCUUAAAAGUAAGCCUAAAAGCUCUGAGUUAUGAUGCCGACUCAUGCCAAUUUUAUUUACCGUGCAAAUUUGGCAUCUUUUUUUUUUCCAUCCUAGAUCUUAGGUUUUGUCUGAAGCGGAAAAUAAUAGCUCUCAAUUAUUAAGGAAAAUAAAUACCACUUCAAGAAAUAGUGGCGACUUUGACAAAAAAUCAAAAGAAAAACGAAAUAGUGGCAAGUCAUGCUAAAACAAAUUACUCAGACAUAUUUUCGGUGAGAAUUCAAUUCACGAGCUUUCAAUGCCUAAAUUAUAGACUUUUUUGAAGUAGAAAAAACCUCUUGUUCAUGUGUAAAACCUACCAACUGUUCAUACAAUUAAUUUUUGUUCUACUUAAUUUCGUUAUAAACUUGACAAAGUUUUAAAAUUUAAAUUGAUCCCUAAAACCAUCCCCAUCACAAAACAAAAAAAAUGAAGGGAAGUAAACAACAUCUGAAUCUAUCUCUAAUUCUCUCCAUCACACACACAUUACGUGGAGCCCUCUAAGAAAAGUGGACCCCACAACCCACCCACGAAAAAAAGUCACCCGACCGUCCAAACCACUCAUGUCUUGAUUGCUCCGCGCCACGUGGUUCGCAACCUUUCAAACCCAAGUCGGUCACUUUACCAUUUCAAAUUUUACCGGACCAACUGGCUCAGGACCCGAACCGCAAGGCUCGAGCAAAUCAACAAAAUCAACGGCCCAGAUCUAGUCUCGUGUCCCGCAACCUUAUAUAGCUCGCUCUUAUCCCAACCCCAAAACCCUACUUUACUCUCUGUUAUUAGUUCGGUCACUCAUCUGAAAGUUUCGGGAGAUUUCAUUUUCAUUUAUAUUUUUGUUUUUGGGGUUUCGGAGAUCAUGGCUGACCAGUCGGAGAGUGCCGGUUCGACGGUGGAGCACGAGAAGUCACUGAUGGAGAAGAUCAGCGAGAAGAUCCACGAUCAUAACUCGUCGUCUUCGUCGUCAUCUGACUCGGAUAACGAGAAACCGGAGUCGCCCAAGUCUGAGAAGCCCAAGGUUUUCAGGAUUUUCGGGAGGGAGAAACCAGUUCACCAUGUUUUCGGUGGAGGAAAGCGUACGGACAUCCAUUCUCUCUCUAUGAAGUUUUUUAUUUAUUUUAUUUUAUUUGAAACUAAGAAUCAUAUCUUUUAGAAAAAAAAAAAUUUGAACAUUGUCUUUUGAAAGAAGUGAAACGAGUAUACCAGUUUGAUUUGUGUGUGGAUUGUGUAGGUUGUAGGUUGAUCUGAGAUCGUGAUUAUUUUUCUUGGUUAGAUGCUUUUAUGCUUUGUUUGGGUGCUGAUAAAAUUUCUGAACUUGUGGGUUUGAUUUCUUAUUUCUUCUAUUGUUGUGUUCGGAUGCUAGGAAACUGUAGAAAAAAAAAUAUAUGGGCAGGAAGAUGCGAACGUUUGUGUUUUUCGAGUAGAAAUAUAGAGUAACUUAGUUCCUUUUUCUUCUUAUAUAUCUUCUUUUGCAAUGGUUCCGAUCUUCUUAGUUGAUCUGUUAAAACACCUCAUUUACUUUGAUAUUUGGAUCUUCAAUGCCGUUUGGUAACUCGGAUGCUCUGUCUUUAGUUAUCACAUUAGAGUUCAGACUUCAGAUUUUGACAUUUCUGAAAUGUUGCAGCUGCUGAUGUGUUCUUGUGGAGAAACAAGAAGGUUUCAGCUGGUGUUCUUGGUGGAGCCACUGCAGUCUGGGUCCUUUUUGAGUUGCUUGAGUACCACCUACUUACUCUUGUUGGCCACAUUUUGAUUGGUACCCUUGCGGUCUUGUUCCUCUGGUCCAAUGCUCAUUCUUUUAUCCACAAGUAAGAUACUUGGUUUUUCCAUUCAUGGUUUCAUCUUCUGGGUGCUUGCAUAGGAUCUGAAUAUAAUUUAUGGUUCUGUUUCGAUCUUUGCCUUUUAAGUUAAUAAAUUUGCUUUUGUAGGACUCCACCUCGCAUCCCAGAAGUUCAUCUUCCUGAGGAACCAUUCCUGCAGGUUGCUUCUGAGCUGAGACUUCAAAUCAACUGGGCUUUUGCGGUCCUUCAUGAUAUUGCAUCUGGCAGAGAAUUGAAGAAAUUCCUGAUCGUAUGUAGAAUUGAUCUCUAUAACUCUUUUUGAUAAGCUUUUCAAUCAGUGUAUGGUGACUAGAUUGGUUAUUUAAUGGGUUUAAAGUUUAAACAGCUUAAUGUGCCUAGUUUAUUGUCUCAUCAGGAUUACUAGUUUUUAGAACUUGUUGCUAUGCUAUAAUUCUUAUACAUAAACUUAAUUUUUUAAGUUUGCUCUGAUAAUGUAUUGUCGAUUUCAGGUUAUUGCUGGCUUGUGGGUUCUUUCAAUUGUGGGGACUUGGUGCAAUUUCUUGACCUUGUUUUACAUAUGUAAGGACUAUGGAAAACUUGUGUUGUGUGCACAAAUUUGUUUCAUUUAUUAUUGUACUGAUUUUAAUAAUCCUCAUUUUGUAAAACAGCUUUUGUUUUGCUGCACACGGUGCCUGUCAUUUAUGAGAAGUAUGAAGACAAGAUAGACCCAUUUGCAGAGAAGGCAACUAUUGAAUUCAAAAAGCACUAUGCAGUGUUUGAUGCCAAGGUUCUCAGUAAGAUUCCGCAGGGGCUGAAAAACAAGAGGUCUUAGAAAGUCUGAAGUGUUUUGUUGUGCUUUAAAAGCUCUAGGUUUUGUAGUUGAGCUUCCCAUGCUGUUCAAGUGUUUGGGUUUUGUUAUUCAAAUGACUUUAUGUGGUCUUAGUUUCCAGAUUUAGGUUUGUGAUGUGCUUAUACGUAAUCAUGGGAAGCCUUUAAACAGCACAUUAGCCAUACGUUUAUUUUGACAACUUUAUGCUAUCCAAUUCUGUCUUGUACAUGGGUUGUCGCUUAUAUGAACAGUUAUGGUGGAUGUUAUUUCAUGCUGCUUCUCCUUUUGGUUGCGAGCAUGAUAUUUUGGUGCUUAAGUUUUAUGAAAGUUUAGCAUUGUGUCCCAAACAUACCUAAAUUAAAUCAGGUGGCUGUGGCGUGCUUUGAUAUAUUGCUAGUGUUUCAACUUUAUUCCUUAUAUGAAUUGAUUACCUAAAUUAAAUCAGGUGGCUGUGGCGUGCUUUGAUAUAUUGCUAGUGUUUCAAGUUUAUUCCUUAUAUGAAUUGAUUAUCUAUUUGCAUUUGGUUUAGAUUUUUGGGCAUUUGGUUUAGAUUUUUGGACAUCUAGUUAGGCACUUUGAAAUGUGGCAUAAGCACGUGAGCUUGACAUGUUUCUGGCAAUGGAAAUGUUAUUCUUCGUUGAGUAUCGUGUAACGUUUGCUCUAAACUCAUCCUCUCAUUCUGAUUAUAAUUCAAUGUUGAUAGGAUUUUAGAUUUUGUAAUGCGAUUCUUCAACUCAAAUUUGUUGAAUUUGUUUGGUUUGACCUUAAAAAUGACCCGAAUGUUAGUGUAUAGGUUCAAUCCUAUCAAACAGAAUUAUGGAAUUGGUUAGGGUUAAUUUGAGAGUGAUUCCGGAUAUGACAAAAAUCACUUUUCAUGUACUUGUACAUAUGAUCACUUUAAAUGGGUGCGGGAGUUACAUUCAACAUGCCAUCAAGGAACGUAACUCUGCUGCUGAUAUGCUUGCUUUUAUUGGGAUCUCAGAGAAUUUUUUUAUUUGGUCGAAAUCUCUACUCGUCUCCAUAUUUGGGACUCUACCCCGGCUGCUGUGAGACAAUUAAUGUUUAAUGAUUUGUGUAGGGUUUUCUACCCUUAAAUAAGUUGCUGUUUAGUGUUUGUGUUGGGCUUCAGCCCUCCUUGUUACCCAAAAAAAAAAAAAGGAACUUCGAAUGGAUUGUACAUUGUGAGCCAAUAUUUUCUCAAUAUAUGUAUAUGGUUUAACGUCCAAACAAAGAUUUCAGCCGGUACCAAAGAUUUCAGACGGUACCGAAAUUCUCAAUAGGCUCAGAGGGACAUGAAGGAAGACAGGAGAUUCAAGUUGGGUUGAAGAAUACAGAGUUCUGAGCAAAUCUUUCUCACUGUUGCAUCGAUUUCACAAAUUUUCCCACUGUUGCAAUUAUGCUGGGCAUCCACGCCUCACAUUCGUUUUACAACUUUCCACUUGUUUAACUGGCUUGUAAAUUAAAUUAUCAGACAACCAUGCACGAAGUCAUUUGAGUGAAAGAAUUAAUUGAACAAGAUUGCUGGGCUACAAAAUCAAACAAUGAUCUAUACCUUUGAUUAAUUACAACAUACAACGAAUCUUCUUCAGUAUCUUGGAAGGAGUCUUGAGGCAUAAGGAUUGCUUUCCGCCGAUGUGAGAGGGACUGUUGAGAAUUCCGAAUCAGAAUGCUCCGACCGAAAGUUACUGCGGAAAGGUAAGGGGCUUGUAUUUUGGAUUGGCGAUAAGUUGAGUCUUGAGAAACCCGACUCAGUACCACUGGUGGAAGUCCUAUGGUCAGGUUCCAUCGGAACGGCUUGUGCAGAGGUUGGAGUCUUGUGUGAAUCUUCUUGAGAUCUGCCGGAAUCGUCUGCAGACUCCCUUCUCUCCCUUUCUUCAGUUUCUUUGAGCAGAAAAUCAACCCACAGAUCUGCAAAGGACUGAACAUAGCAGAGAACAAAGUUAAUGGAUGCAACUCCAUUAAGUAAAUGCGGACCUAACACAUUGAUAAAGAAAAGGCACUCGGAACACUUUUCAGGGCAGCUUAUUGGUUGGAAAUUAAGAGGAAAAACAAAUCAUGUUUUAACAAAUAGAAGCACGCAGGAGCUAAAUGUAGAACGACACAUCGGAAAAAACCACCAAAUUAAAGUACAGCAAAUACGGAACAAAUUAAAAUACCCAAUGCGAUUUGAAAAAACACUAGUUGGAAAUCAAAGUAUACCACCAAAUAAUCUUUUAAUUGAAAGGAGAAAAGAAUGGUACAUGGUUCUCAGAUGCCGCAUUUGCAGAUGCUCCAGCUGAACCGCCGCCCAAAAUGCCACCAACGAGGCGGCCAGGCAGACCAAAAACUCCACGAACAACACCUUUACCUGCACCUUGAGAGACGCCUAUUCUCUGCUUGUCUUCAUCGGAGAAUCCCAGCAUGCGAGCCAUAAGAUCCAGUACCUGGACAGCAGCAGCAGAAAAACUACAUGAGCCUGGCCAUAUUAAAAACUAAACCAAUUGUCAUGGAUCAGUACUGCACAAGGCUGGAUAGGGGUGGGACUUGACAAGCCAGAACUAAUAAGUUCUUGCAUAAAGCAAACAUGACAAAUUCUUGCAUCAGUAGCCCCAUCAUGAAGCUAGUCUAGUAUCAUGAAAAAAUUUCAUACCUCUUUACUGUAAUUUCUCUGAAAGUAGGUCACCAGUAACUUGAUCACAAUGCGUCUGUGACAAAAACCAAUCAUCAUUAACAUUGCAAUGCACUCUUUCAAUAAAACAGCAUUAUUAUUAAUAAAAUAUUGUAAAUAAAUUCAACCAAGAAUUCUCUCCAACAAGGUAGAUACAGCACUUCUGUAAAACAAAAGAAGAGAGCUGCCAAACACUCCAGACACAAAGCCAUAACCCAUAACUGAAUUUUGAAGGCAAUGUCAAUACUCCAUAUACCUAAAACCCGAUAGAAGGCCAGGAAAAACAGACCAACCUGUCAACAAGAUAAUCUGAAUCUAUUGACAUCCUAUUAAGCCUGGUCAUGCUCUGUUCAACAGCUCGCCGUAACUUUGCAUUGUCUUCCUCCAGUUUGUUUACUCGGUUUUUCCAGUCUACUACUAUCUUCUCAGCUUGAGAAAGCUUGGACAAGAUUUCUUCCUUUUCCCUCUUUGAUGCUUCUGCCUGAUGAUCAGCAUCCUGGUAAAAUCAUAGAACAUUUUGACUCCGAUUAUUUUGUGUGUUAGUACUAGAGAAGACCAUCAGAACAUACAGAUCUUAAAUUCAUUAAGUGAUGCAACUUUAUAUAAAAUAAGUAAUUAUCUUCUUGUUCUUCCUAUCUCUCCCCUCAACUAACAAAGGAAGGAACAUGAUUUGCAUGAUCACAAUUAUGGGGCACCAGUGUAAUAAAUGCAUUGCAGGUAAUAUUAUAUAGCACCACAAGCAGAUUAAAAAUUGCAUAAUAUAACAGAAUCGUAUUCUGACAAUGCAAAGGAAAAGGAAGAGAACAUACUUGCAAGAGCUGAUAAAGUUUAGCCAACUCUUCCCUUGCCCGUGCCAAAUCUCCUUCCAAAUGUUCCUAUACAGAAAAUGAAACUUGCAUAAGAAACAAAUAAAAAUUCUGAGGACUCAUAAUUCAACACAAAACAUUUCAUGUGCCUUCCCAUAUAGACAGACAACAAAAUUUGAAUUUCAUUACCUUAGCUUCAAUUUCAGCAUAGUAUUGACCAAGAGCAGUUUGAAGAUUCAAAAGUUCAACAUUUUUGGCAUCUAUUGUGUUCAUACAGCUUUCAAGUCUUUUAUUCAGAUCAUCAAUAAGUUCCUUUGAUUUCUGAAAUUCGUUAUUGUUGAUCAUCUUCACUUCAUCCUGUUUUGCAAUCGCCUGCUUCAGAGCUUUCUCCAAAUGUAAUAUUUGAGCUCUUCGAUAUUCGUUACUUUCUCGAAGUUCCUCAAUGACUUUGCUGUCUUCAUCCAUUUUUUCAGACUCUUCAGAUUCCUGCACGAAGUAUAAGCCAAAAGAAAAAAUCCUCGUCAAUAAUUUUCCAUGACAUUUUCACUUGGUAUAUACAGGAUGACAAAUCCACCAAGAAUGUUUCCCGUGCAAUAUAAAACGGUACUCAUAAAUAAUACGAACAAAAUAAAGAGUUCCAUAUCCAAACUACCAAAAUUAUCUGUACACAGUAAAUAAAACCAAACUUACACACAGAAGUAUACUCACAAAAUAAUGAAAAUGAAAGAAAACAUUUAUGAAGAAUAAAAUAAUAAAAUAAGUACAGAGACUCUAUGAACAAGAGUUACAACUUUAAACCUCGAACAAAGAUCAUCAAUACAAAAUCAAACAACUAUGUUAUCUAAUUGUGAAAUUAUGUACCUCACAGCAGCUCCCCAAUUUAGUAAAAUUACACUUAACAAACAGGCACUAGUUGCUGGGGACACUAAAUCCCCAAGGAUGCCCAAAGCCUAUCCAAAGAGUUCUCUCAUUCCCACUAUAAUUCUGAAAAUUCUAUUAUUCCUCCACAACCAAAUCACCCAAAAAACAGCUAACAGAGUAGACAAGAUCAAAACAGUGGACAUAUAAUAUUUCCAGGAGAAACCUUUGGAAGUAAGAUAUGGAGUGUCAAAAUUCAUGUCUAGCAGAACAAAUCAAACUUCACUUGAAAAAGAGAAAAGGUCCAUGCAUCACAAAAGUCAACAAAUAUCAUAUAACUUAUUACUGCACCAUGCAGUAAUUCAAUUUUCUGCUAAGGCAGUUCACAGCUACUAUCAUGUGGACUAGGAAAAAUACAUUGUCCUCUACAAUUUAAACAAUGAGUGUGCAAUAGAAAGGAUAAUCCACUGAACAAUAUCCUCAGUCUAAUAACAUCAACAACAGAUUCAAAUGGAAAGUUUAAAACGUGAAAAGUUUGAUGCCACUCAAAUUUUGAAUGCAAAAUGUCAUGCACGACAAUGCAAAUAAUGGAUAUUUUCAAGACAUAUAACCUUUUCUAACAAAUGCUGUUUAAGGCGGGACAACUCUUGCAAGGCUUUGUCCCUUUCAAGGCGCAUUUCCUUCAAAUCUUUAUCAAACUUUUGUAACGAUUUCUCCAUUUCUUCCUUUCCAGGAAAACUUUCUGAAGAAUCUACCGGCUGCACAGAAUGUUAAAAAAAUACUAAUUUAAGUUAAAGAACUGGGUAUCAUAAUAUCAACCACCGAGUUAUGUCCAGCACGCAAAAACAUGACUAGUACAGUAAAGACAGACACACACGCACUUCCCCCACCCACACCUCCCAAGCCACUCGAAACAAUCAAAGGGAGAGGGAUUAGCUAGGAAGGAUUCCAUCCAAAUUGCACAAAAAAGCAAGUAUUGUGUUCCCCAAAAAUUCUCACACUGCACACGUAUUACCUCAUUCAAAUGAGUUGGGUGCUUAUUCAAAGAUUCAGAAGCAUCUAAGGAAUUUCUUUCAGUUGCAGUCCUGCUCGCUUUCAAUGCAACUUCAAGUUCAUCCUUCUCUAUCUAUAUACAAUGAAUAAAUGUUAGAGUGGAUUUUAUAAGGGGACAAUAACUAGAAACACAAAUUUUCAUCAAAACAUGAAAUUAUCAACCUUAAGACUACUAUUUUCCUUCUCCAGGGUUGCGAUUAAUCUUUUCAAACUACCAGCAACAUCAUCUGCAUUUUCAUCCUCCCGUCUAUUCAACUCCAUUUGCAAUCGAUUUAUCUCAGACAUUUUCUCCUUCAACACAUUGCUUAUUUUGCUUAUCUCGAUGGAGGUCUGCCAAAAGAAACAUGAGCAUGCCGUACCAAAAGGCAGAGGUCAGAGAACCAAAACAAGAAACAUAUGUGUACAUACAUAGCUGCCUCCAUAUCCAGCUGCUUAUGUCUAAUCAUAAGUAAAGAUAAUAAUAAAAAUUUGUACAUUUCCAAAUUAAUAUGGUAGUGAUGCCAGGAAAGAGAGCC